UGGCCUACGGGGGCAGCAGUGGGGAAUAUUGGACAAUGGGGGAAACCCUGAUCCAGCGACGCCGCGUGAGUGAAGAAGUAUUUCGGUAUGUAAAGCUCUAUCAGCAGGGAAGAAAAUGACGGUACCUGACUAAGAAGCCCCGGCUAACUACGUGCCCGCAGCCGCGGUAAUACGUAGGGGGCAAGCGUUAUCCGGAUUUACUGGGUGUACAGGGAGCGUAGACGGCAUAGCAAGUCUGAUGUGAAAGAUCGGGGCUCAGCCCCGGGCCUGCAUUGGAAACUGUUAAGCUGGAGUACAGGAGAGGU
rnacentral:rRNA from 1 species